GGGUGAUUAGCUCAGCUGGGAGAGCACCUCCCUUACAAGGAGGGGGUCGGCGGUUCGAUCCCGUCAUCACCCAACA
rnacentral:tRNA from 1 species